rnacentral:rRNA from 1 species
UACGUAGGUGACCAGCGUUGUCCGGAUUUACUGGGCGUAAAGAGCGCGCAGGCGGUCGUUCAAGUCGAGUGUGAAAGCCCCCGGCUCAACUGGGGAGGGUCAUUCGAUACUGAUCGACUCGAAGGCAGGAGAGGGAAGUGGAAUUCCCGGUGUAGUGGUGAAAUGCGUAGAUAUCGGGAGGAACACCAGUGGCGAAGGCGGGUCUCUGGGCCGAAACUGACGCUGAGGAGCGAAAGCGUGGGGAGCAAACAGG